AUUGAACGCUGGCGGCAGGCCUAACACAUGCAAGUCGAACGAGUGGCGGACGGGUGAGUAUUGUCUGGGAAACUGCCUGAUGGAGGGGGAUAACUACUGGAAACGGUAGCUAAUACCGCAUACCAUCAGAUGUGCCCAGAUGGGAUUAGCUUGUUGGUGGGGUAACGGCUCACCAGGGCGACGAUCCCUAGCUGGUCUGAGAGGAUGACCAGCCACACUGGAAUGGAGACACGGUCCAGACUCCUACGGAAGGAAGCAGUGGGGAAUAUUGGAAAAUGGGCGCAAGCCUGAUGCAGCCAUGCCGCGUGUAUGAAGAAGGCCUUCGGAUUGUAAAGCACUUUAAGUUGGGAGGCGUUACCAACAGAGUAAGCACCGGCUAACUUCGUGCCAGCAGCCGCGGUAAUUC
rnacentral:rRNA from 1 species